AUCGCUGUGUAGUGGUCGUCAUUUUUUUUAAAAUGGUAUUGUUCAGAUUAGUUUGUUUACCCUCGUUAAAAUGUGAUCACAUAGGAAAUUCCCGGUGCUCAGCACGUAAAAAAUGCUCUACGAUGGUUUUGGGUGUGUCUGGUACUGCGGUCGCUAUCUAGUGGUCGUCGUUUUUAUUUUUAUUGUAUUAAUAGAUUAUUGGAUAUUAGUCUGCUUGCCCUCGCUCAAAUUACAGCACAUCAGAAAUCCGCUGUGUUCAGCUGAAGUUUUUCUACGCUGGCAGCCAGGCCUAGUUGUGUGUAGGCCUCCAUUUUGUAUGUAGCCACGAGUUUAGCUGGUGUCUACAAUGUUUUGAACUCUGAAAAUCACUUCGCUGGCUGGGAUCAUGCUGUUAUACAGCAGUGUCGAAAUAUCAGCGACUUUUUGUGGGAAAUAGUAGAGCCAUAAUGGCGCCACUUUGGACAAGGAAAAAGUUGGGCAAAAUCUUCGAAGAAGCUGGCUAUUUUACCUGGUUUCUGGAUUGUGAUGGUAUGACACCCAAUUUCCUGAAGAACGGGCUUGUAAAAUUAAUCGGAGAAGACUGGCGGAUACGCAUCAAGCUCCCAACUCCUGAAAUGGCUGUCAGAAUAGACUACAACUCAACAUGGCUGUCCAUGUAGAACUACAUCCCCCACAAGCCUUGUGGCCGCAGGCCCCAGUGGACACCCGUCAUUGCUUGAGCUCACUCCAAACUGAGGCGGUUUCUGUGGCCAACAUUUGGAUUUUUUCUAACCUGAACCUGAGUCACAAGAUUACUCUCUGAGGAGAAGCCCCUCUGCAGCCACCUCUUUCUCUGUCCCACGAAUAGGCAGCGUCGCUGAGGAAGAGGAUGGUCACUGCUUGGA